rnacentral:rRNA from 1 species
UACGUAGGUGGCAAGCGUUGUCCGGAUUUAUUGGGUUUAAAGGGUGCGUAGGCGGUCUAUUAAGUCAGUGGUGAAAGCCCCAAGCUCAACUUGGGAACUGCCAUUGAUACUGAUGGACUUGAGUACAUUUGAGGUGGGCGGAAUGUGUCAUGUAGCGGUGAAAUGCUUAGAUAUGACACAGAACACCGAUUGCGAAGGCAGCUCACUAAACUGUAACUGACGCUGAGGCACGAAAGCGUGGGGAGCAAACAGG